CAGACAGACCAGAGGUGCUAAAGACUUGAUGGAGCCUUCCGGAAAUCUUGGUGGCUUUACUGGCGCGCCUGUUUCUGCCUUUCCUGACCUGGAGUAGGCCCCAGGGUUGAUCAGGCCGGGAUAUUUAGUGAGAAGCCUAGGUCGGGUGUUGCUGCGGCGGCCAUAUUAUAACCUGGCAAAUGAGACGCAUAAUAGUAGCGUAAUUGUUGUCGUCACUCCGAGUUUCCGUCUGGUGAGGGCCCAGGCGGUUGCCAUGACAACGAGGAACCUACCAACGCCUCCUGGAAAGCAUGGAGACGAUGGCAGAAUUCUCCUUUCUGACGUCAGGACGCUGGGUGCAACUUAGUAGUCUUGAGGUGACAUACAGAUCUAUGGUUUUUGAAGAAGAAAGAAAAUCCCGAACCGUUAGCGUGAGGAAAAUUAGAUUAUCUAGUAACUCUUCAUAUAUGGGGAAAUUGAGAGGCAGUGACUUACCCUAGUUCACAGUGGGUUAGUGGCAGAGUGUGGCCUAGAACCAGGGUCAAUGGAUGCCCAGUUCUCAGCGGGGAAGUCUAGAUUGAGCCCCAUAAUAGGUCAAAUCCUGGUUUCUAAGUGACUUCAGCACCACAUACGUAGCACUCGGUUUAGUUUCUGCACGUGUUUGCAUGCUUAUUCCAAAAAUUAGUGGUGGAAUUGAACUGAGAAAUCUCAGGAAGACGUCUUGAAGUCCAGGCUGAAGGUCAAGGCCAGGAGAGAGGAUAGUGACACCUGGCCCGCAGAUUGGGUCCUGUGGCACGUACUUAUUUAUUCCACAAACACGUGAGCCUCUUGAAUUCCCCCUACUUGCCAGGCUCUGUUCCAGGUGCUGAGGAUUCAGCUCCUAUGAGAAUUCUUUGCCUCCAUCCCCUUCUGCCCAGCAAAGGGCUCUUAGGGGAGCUUGCUGUUGGAAGUCAGUGCUAUUAGGGGGCAGAGGCAUCUAAAUGUUCCCUCAGGCAGUCAAAGACCAACCAAAGCUGUGCCUCUGAGAACCUGCAGCACAUCCAGGUUUUCUAAUCACAGAAUCACUGGAGCAUCAGCGUAAGCCUGCAUGCUUGGAGGGGCUUCCAGGAGAUGAACACACCUCAGCACCGAGUGGCAUUUCCCAAGGUGCAACCUGGAUUGGCUCUGGGUCACACUCAGGAAGUGAAGCAGGAGAGGCUGAGAAUGCCGGUUCUCUAGCUAGAGAGCAGUGUGCGUGAAGGACGGGGCACGAGGUGCAGAGGGCGGCAGGAUGAAUCGGGAGCACCUGGAGAGGAGAGCUCCCUGCAUGGCAGCACCCCACAGCUGCACUCACCACAGGCCACCAGGGAAAUGCCCU